CCUGCUCAGGAUGAACGCUGGCGGCGUGCCUAAUACAUGCAAGUCGAGCGAACAGAUAAGGAGCUUGCUCCUUUGACGUUAGCGGCGGACGGGUGAGUAACACGUGGGUAACCUACCUAUAAGACUGGAAUAACUCCGGGAAACCGGGGCUAAUGCCGGAUAACAUUUAGAACCGCAUGGUUCUAAAGUGAAAGAUGGUUUUGCUAUCACUUAUAGAUGGACCCGCGCCGUAUUAGCUAGUUGGUAAGGUAAUGGCUUACCAAGGCAACGAUACGUAGCCGACCUGAGAGGGUGAUCGGCCACACUGGAACUGAGACACGGUCCAGACUCCUACGGGAGGCAGCAGUAGGGAAUCUUCCGCAAUGGGCGAAAGCCUGACGGAGCAACGCCGCGUGAGUGAUGAAGGGUUUCGGCUCGUAAAACUCUGUUAUUAGGGAAGAACAAACGUGUAAGUAACUGUGCACGUCUUGACGGUACCUAAUCAGAAAGCCACGGCUAACUACGUGCCAGCAGCCGCGGUAAUACGUAGGUGGCAAGCGUUAUCCGGAAUUAUUGGGCGUAAAGCGCGCGUAGGCGGUUUCUUAAGUCUGAUGUGAAAGCCCACGGCUCAACCGUGGAGGGUCAUUGGAAACUGGGAGACUUGAGUGCAGAAGAGGAAAGUGGAAUUCCAUGUGUAGCGGUGAAAUGCGCAGAGAUAUGGAGGAACACCAGUGGCGAAGGCGACUUUCUGGUCUGUAACUGACGCUGAUGUGCGAAAGCGUGGGGAUCAAACAGGAUUAGAUACCCUGGUAGUCCACGCCGUAAACGAUGAGUGCUAAGUGUUAGGGGGUUUCCGCCCCUUAGUGCUGCAGCUAACGC
rnacentral:rRNA from 1 species